GAGAACAGCACGGGUCCUACAGAGCCGGGUUUAUAAGCGUUUGAGUUUCUUUGUCAUUUUUCUAUUCUCUUGUACCCUCAUAAGCAGCUAAUUAUUCCUUACUAUAGCCUUUAGUGGACUUCCUACAUGAGGGUUGUGAUGACCUAGUUACCAGGGUAGUUGUAACAUGGUUUUGGUGAUAAGGGAGGAUCCUGACAACCUAGCCACAAGAAAUAGUGGUGACAUGGUCGGUAGCCAGUAGGGAUUAUAAUUAACUAUGGCUGGAGCUAUAUGCAUACAAACAACAAUAAAUGUUGAUGAGGACGUGGGGGAAAAGGCACACUCAUACACUGCUGGUGGGACUGCAAAUUGGUGCAGCCAAUAUGGAAAGCAGUAUGAAGAUUUCUUAGAAAUUUGGGAAUGGAACCACCAUUUGACCCAGCUAUCCCUCUCCUCAGUCUAUACCCAAAAGACUUAAAAACAGCAUACUACAGGGACACAGCCACAUCAAUGUUUAUAGCAUCACAAUUCACAAUAGCUAAACUGUGGAGCCAACCUAGAUGCCCUCCAAUGGAUUAAAAAUGUGACAUAUAUACACAAUGGAAUAUUACUCAGCAAUAAAAGAGAAUAAAAUCAUGUCAUUUGCAGGUAAAUGGAUGGCGUUGGAGAAGAUAAUGCUAAGUGAAGUUAGCCAAUCCCAAAAAACCAAACGCCAAAUGUUUUCUUUGAUAUAAGGAGGCUGAUUCAUAGUGGGGUAGGGAGGGGAAGAAUGGGAGGAAUAGACGAACUCUAGAUAGGGCAGAGGGGUUGGAGGGGAAGGAAGGGGGCGUGGGAUUAGAAAUGAUGGUGGAAUGUGAUGAUCAUUAGUUUCCAAAGUACAUGUCUGAAGACACAAAUUGGUGUGAAUAUACUUUGUAUACAACCAGAGAUAUGAAAAACUGUGUGUAAUAAGAAUUGUAAUACAUUCUGCUGU
rnacentral:lncRNA from 1 species